GAUGAACGCUGGCGGCGUGCCUAAUACAUGCAAGUCGAGCGAACAGACGCGGCUCUUGCUGCGCUCACGUUAGCGGCGGACGGGUGUAUAACACGUGUAUAACCUACCUAUAAGACUGGUAAAACUUCGGGAAACCGGAGCUAAUACCGUAUAAUAUACUGAAGCGCGUGGUGCAAUAGUGAGAGUCGGUUUUGCUGUCACUUAUAGAUGCUUCCGCGCCGCAUUAGCUAGUUGUUAAGGUAACGGCUUACGACGGCGACCAUGCGUAGCCGACCUGAGAGGGGGGUCGGCCACACUGGAGCUGGGACAGGGUCAAGACUCCUACGGGAGGCAGCAGUCGGGAAUGUGCCGCAGUGGGCGAGAGCCUGACGGAGCAACGCGGAGUGAGUGAUGAAGGUCUCGGGAUCGUAAAACUCUGUUAUUAGGUAAGAACAAAUGUGGAAGUAACUGUGGCCGUAUUGACGGUAACUAGUCAGAAAGCCACGGCUAACUACGUG
rnacentral:rRNA from 1 species